GGGGAAUAUUGGACAAUGGACGAAAGUCUGAUCCAGCGACGCCGCGUGGAGGAAGAAGUCCUUCGGGAUGUAAACCCAUGAAGCUAACGAAAAAGCAGGGAGGGGAACCUUCCGGGAGAAGGUAAUUAGGGAAAAGCACCGGCUAACUACGUGCCAGCAGCCGCGGUAAUACGUAGGGGGCGAGCGUUGCCCGGAAUUACUGGGCGUAAAGGGAACGUAGGUGGCUCUUAAAGUCAGGUGUGAAAAUAACGAAGCUUAACAGGUGUAAUGCGCUUGAAACUAAAGGGCGUGAGGGCAAUAGAGGGAGAUGGAAUUACCUGUGUAGGGGUGAAAUCCGCAGAUAUAGGUAAGAAGGCCGGUGGGGAAGCCGAUCUCCUGGGUUGACUCUGACACUGAGGUUCGAAAGCUAGGGGAGCAAACC
rnacentral:rRNA from 1 species